rnacentral:misc_RNA from 1 species
GCUGUGUCUGCAGAGUGUUUUAGCAGUAGCAGUUGCUUCAGCAGUCUAUCAUCCUCAAAGAAGAAGAAGAUUCAUAGUAGUAACAACGCGAGGAGGUUCAGCGAUGAACAGAUUAAAUCAUUAGAAACCAUGUUUGAAACAGAGACCAAACUUGAACCAAGAAAGAAGCUUCAACUAGCCAGAGAACUCGGAUUGCAACCUCGACAAGUAGCAAUUUGGUUUCAAAACAAGAGAGCUCGAUGGAAAUCGAAGCAACUCGAAAGGGAUUACAGUAUACUUAAAUCCAAUUAUGACAAUCUUGCUUCUCAAUACGAAGCUUUAAAGAAAGAAAAACAAUCCUUGCUUAUUCAGUUACAAAAGCUGAAAGAAAUCGAGUCAGACAACAGAUGCUCUGUAAUUAAGAAAAAUGAAAUGGAAGGGAUGCCAAGCUUGUCUUUUGACUUAUCAUCUCAACAUGGAACAAAUGGUGUUAUGUCAGAUGAUGACAUUGACAGCAGUAUAAGAGCCGAUUAUCUCGGGUUAGAUGAUGAUGCAGAGUAUCAUCUACUGAAAAUUGUUGAAACAGGGGAUAGUUCUUUAACUUCCCCUGAAAAUUGGGGCUGUUUAGACGACGAUGGUAUCUUAAACCAUCAGCCUAAUAGUUCUAGUUAUGAUCAGUGGUGGGAUUUCUGGUCUUGAAUCAAAAUCGUUGAUAAAUAUUUAAAAAUGAUCAGAUACCAAAUUGCUAGCGGUUCUUGUACAUUUGAUCGAGCAUGCUGGCACCCUCCUCUGUUAUCACUUUCAUCUUAGCAACUUACAGUGCCUUUGUCUACUGGACAAACUGUAAUCUUGUAUACUAGUACUAGUCCAUGGUGGUUUUAGUUUGUAUGCCUUGAAAUAUACUAUGAGUAAU